CAGAGAGGGGUUCUGGAAUCAGAGUGUCUCCCAUGUACAAUAUGUGUGAAGUUGGGCAAAUUAUUUAAUUUUUCUGAGCCUCAGGAUUUUGUGUGUGUGUGUGUGGUACUGGAGAUUGAACCCAGGGCCUCCCACAUGCUAGGCAUGUGCUCUACUACUGAGCUACUUCAUGAGCUCUAAGUCUCAGUUUCUCCAUUUCAAAUUAAGGUGGGAGGGCUGUAGCUACAGUUCAGUGGUAGAGCACUUGCCUAACAUGCACAGGGCCCUGAGUUUGAUCCCUAGCAACACACACACACACACACACACACACACACACACACACAUAAGUAGGAGUACUUAUCUCAUUGGUUUGAUGUAGGGAAUCACUGGAUUAAUGCAUAUAAAAUGCAUUCACAAGAUGGUCCCUGGCAUAUAGGAAAGGCUCAGUACAUGGUAUCUGUAUAAUGUGUAUUUGCAUCAUAUUGGAGUCAGAUGGAAAGUAAAAGUAGUAAAUAAAAAUACAAGCAAGGCCUUGAGGAGGUGGCGGCACAUGGUACAUAUAUUUGUUAGAUUCUGACUCAACUUAAAAGAGUGACAGAACCAAAAUAACAGAGACAUUAAAAUACAAGUUUAUUUCUGCCAGCCAUGGUGACAGGAUCCCAGUGACUCUUGGAGGCUGAGGUAAGAGGAUUACAAGUUCAGCAACUUAGUAGGACUCUGUCUCAAAAAAAAAAAAAGUGCUAGGGAUGUAUAGCUCAGUGGUAAAGUGCCCCUGGCUUCAACUCCCAGUACCCCCAUUCAAAACAAAUUUAUCUGCAUAAUAAACAAAAUCAGGCACAGCCCAGAGUUGAAAUCAUCAUUUACUUGGAUUCCUCCCAUCUUGCUCCACUAUUUCUCAAAGUGAGAUUUCCAUUCCAUAGUUGAGAGGACUGUAGCAGCAGCAGCCAUCAUGUCUGCACCCCAGUUAGCCAAAGAGAAGAAAGGCAAAGAAAAGGACAGAACUCCUCUCUUAAAAACACGUGUUCGAAGCUGCACACAACACUGCUGCUCACCUUUCACUGGCCAGAGGGCAAUCCCACAGACACCUCAAGCUGCACAGGAUGACUGGGAAAUAAAAUCUUUAUUUUGGGUAAGCAUAUUCUCAACUAAAAAAGGGGACUUUGCUGGAUGUGGAGGCAUGUGCUGAUGAUCCCAGCUACUUAGAAGGCUGAGGCAGGAGGAUAGCCAAUUCUAGGCCAGCUUGAGCUACUUACUGAGAUCCUGUCUCAAAAUAAAAUUUUAAAAAAGACUGGGGAUAUAGCUCAGUGACAGAGUGCUCCUAGGUUCAAUCCCUAGUACUGCUGCU
rnacentral:lncRNA from 1 species